CUACGUGCAGCAGCGCGUAUACGUAGUGCCAGCGUGUCGAUAAUGGGCGUAAGGGCUCGCAGCGUUUCUAGUCUGAUGUGAAGCCCCGGCUCACCGGGGAGGGUCAUGGAAACUGGGGAACUUGAGUGCAGAAGAGGAGAGUGGAAUUCCACGUGUAGCGGUGAAAUGCGUAGAGAUGUGGAGGAACACCAGUGGCGAAGGCGACUCUCUGGUCUGUAACUGACGCUGAGGAGCGAAAGCGUGGGGAGCGAACAGGAUUAGAUACCCUGGUAGUCCACGCCGUAAACGAUGAGUGCUAAGUGUUAGGGGGUUUCCGCCCCUUAGUGCUGCAGCUAACGCAUUAAGCACUCCGCCUGGGGAGUACGGUCGCAAGACUGAAACUCAAAGGAAUUGACGGGGGCCCGCACAAGCGGUGGAGCAUGUGGUUUAAUUCGAAGCAACGCGAAGAACCUUACCAGGUCUUGACAUCCUCUGACAAUCUUAGAGAUAGGACGUCCCCUUCGGGGGCAGAGUGACAGGUGGUGCAUGGUUGUCGUCAGCUCGUGUCGUGAGAUGUUGGGUUAAGUCCCGCAACGAGCGCAACCCUUGAUCUUAGUUGCCAGCAUUCAGUUGGGCACUCUAAGGUGACUGCCGGUGACAAACCGGAGGAAGGUGGGGAUGACGUCAAAUCAUCAUGCCCCUUAUGACCUGGGCUACACACGUGCUACAAUGGACAGAACAAAGGGCAGCGAAACCGCGAGGUUAAGCCAAUCCCACAAAUCUGUUCUCAGUUCGGAUCGCAGUCUGCAACUCGACUGCGUGAAGCUGGAAUCGCUAGUAAUCGCGGAUCAGCAUGCCGCGGUGAGUACGUUCCCGGGCCUUGUACACACCGCCCCGUCACACCACGAGAGUUUGUAACACCCGAAGUCGGUGAGGUAACCUUUAUGGAGCCAG
rnacentral:rRNA from 1 species